rnacentral:rRNA from 1 species
GCAUUUUUGUCUAUCAGCUUGUUGGUGAGGUAAAGACUCACCAAGGCGUCGACGGGUAGCCGGCCUGAGAGGGUGACCGGCCACACUGGGACUGAGCCACGACCCAAAUUUGUACGGGAGGCAGCAGUGAUGUAUAUUGCUCAAUGGGUGUAAUCCAGAUGCAGCAACGGCGCGUGAGGUAGGACGGCCCUUCGGGUUGUAAACCUCUUUUAGCAGGGAAGAAGCGAAUGUGACGGUACCUGGCAGAAAAAGCGCCGGCUAACUACGUGCCAGCAGCCGCGGUAAUACGUAGGGGGUAAGUGUUAUCCGGAAGUAUUGGGCGUAAAGAGCUCGUAGGCGGCCUGUCGCGCCGGCGGUGAGAACCCCGAGGCUCAACCUCGGUCUAGCAGUGGGUACUGGCAGACUAGAGUGCGGUAGGGGAGAUUGGAAUUCCUGGUGUAGCGGUGGAGUGCGCAGAUAUCAGGAGGAACACCGAUGGCGAAGUCAGAUCUCUGGGACGGUAGCUGACGCUGAGUAGCAAGAGGCUAGAGGAGCAAACAGUCUUAGGAACGCCUAGUAAUUCCCCCGCGUAAAACAGUUGCGAGCUAGUAUGUUGGGGUCCUUUCGACGGAUUCCUCACGCAGCCUAAGCCUUUACGGUUUCCCGCCUGGGAGCGUCCGCGGUCAAGGCAUAACAGUCAAAUGAAUUGCAGCGGGUGAACUCUGGCCA